GUCGAGGGGUAUAGGUUUUCGGACCUAGAGACCGGCGCACGGGUGCGUAACGCGUAUGCAAUCUACCUUUUACAGAGGGAUAGCCCAGAGAAAUUUGGAUUAAUACCUCAUAGUAUUAUUGAAUGGCAUCAUUUAAUAAUUAAAGUCACAACGGUAAAAGAUGAGCAUGCGUCCCAUUAGCUUGUUGGUAAGGUAACGGCUUACCAAGGCAACGAUGGGUAGGGGUCCUGAGAGGGAGAUCCCCCACACUGGUACUGAGACACGGACCAGACUCCUACGGGAGGCAGCAGUGAGGAAUAUUGGUCAAUGGGCGCAAGCCUGAACCAGCCAUGCCGCGUGCAGGAUGAAGCAUCUAUGGUGUGUAAACUGCUUUUGUACGAGAAGAAACACUCCUACGUGUAGGAGCUUGACGGUAUCGUAAGAAUAAGGACCGGCUAACUCCGUGCCAGCAGCCGCGGUAAUACGGAGGGUCCAAGCGUUAUCCGGAAUCAUUGGGUUUAAAGGGUCCGUAGGCGGUUUUGUAAGUCAGUGGUGAAAGCCCAUCGCUCAACGGUGGAACGGCCAUUGAUACUGCAAGACUUGAAUUAUUGGGAAGUAACUAGAAUAUGUAGUGUAGCGGUGAAAUGCUUAGAGAUUACAUGGAAUACCAAUUGCGAAGGCAGGUUACUACCAAUAUAUUGACGCUGAUGGACGAAAGCGUGGGGAGCGAACAGGAUUAGAUACCCUGGUAGUC
rnacentral:rRNA from 1 species